CUGGUGUCGUUUGGGUGAGCAUGAUAUAACAAAAUAAAAAAACAUCAUUUGUCACCAUUAGUCAUGCAUGGUGGGCCUGGAUUCUGAAGUGACAAACUACUUUGUGUUUCUCUAGUAACAGCUACAGAACAAGGGGCUUGUCUGUCACAAAAUAGUACUUCCAUAAACGAUCAGUCUGUGAAUUUGGGAGGCUGCCCAACAACCCACAUCACAACCAAAAUGCCUUGGACCUGCUUUUGAGGGAUGAUCAGGAUAGCAGAGAGAACCGCUUAUUCCUCCGCAUGCCCAGUGCUGAGAUGUCCAUUUGGGAUGUCAGAAAAUCCUAUCAGCUAGAAACUUCAGUGGCAAAAUAUUUCACCAAGCUGUGAUUCAAGCAUCACUGUAUGUGAUAGACUCUGAUAUGUUUGGAUCAAACAACAGUUUUGCCCAGGAUUUUCUAAGAUCCCAAAUAUGUGAGGUCUCUUUCAUGCAUCUAACCUUUCUCCUAGUGUCUUUGGCACGCCAGACUUCAUCUUCACUUUUCUCUUCUCUGAAGGUUUCACGCAACAUGUAAUAGAACCAGUGCAAACAGACCCAGAACACCACUUCCUGUUGCAAAUUUCUGAUGGAAUGCAUAUAUUGCUCUUACUGCCACCCAGGAUCUGUUGCCUAUUAUCCCCAGGAACACUGAAUGUCUCUCAGCUGUAUUUCAAAGGACAUUUGAAAACACAGGCCAGAAGUAUCUGUGGUGCCCUUUCAGACUCAAAGUCCUUGAUGUUCGCCUAUUGGUGCUAUGAGCACCAUCUCUCUUCAAAGCAGAGCUGGUGGUACACACAUCUUCUCAGCCUCAGAAGCUCAAGCCCUUGGAGGCACAAUGACCACGGCUACCCGUUUUUGCUCUUAUCAUCUCUCUUGCCUGUAAGUUGAGACAGUGGUUCUAUAAACUGCCACUUGUAUGGGCCUAUGAAUUUUACUGCAACAUUAAUACAAUGCACAGCUUUGAACCUCUUUUAGGUUUCUGAUGUCUGUGCUGAGGGUUAGAGAACUUGACUGAAAUGUAAAUAGUUUCCUGUGUGGUUUCUCAUUUCCCUAGAAUCAGAAAACGUGAAGCACAAACAGAACUGGUGUCAAGACUACCACAAGCGCGAUCCUCCUUUUGAAUGUAUAAGCAAAUGGUGGUGCAUUUAUAAUGACUUGCAGGAAAUACUCUGGAGAAUGAGUUUGUUAGUGAAAACCUGAUAGGAGAAGCAAGUAUUAACAGAUGGCACACUUUUACUUGUGAAUGUGACUGUUCUCUGCAGUAAUCCUAUUGUUAGAGGGGCACUUGCCCUCACUGGAUUCAUAUGGGAAUGGCACAUGCAACACACAUGUCAAGCAUCACACAGUACCUAAUUCUGAGUCCUGACUUCAGAAAGAGCUGGACAGGAGUGGCCACCUCCACUUUUAGCAGGUAGCGAAGCUCAUGCAUGUCGUGUGCAGCUACAGGUUCAAUGCCGGGACAUAUGCAUGCUCACUCCCCUCUCUUGAUUGUAUCAGGACAUCUUGCUUCCAUAUGGUGCCCCAGACAACAUGGGAUGCUGGGAGCUCUCUCAUUUGGGUUGGAGAGAGGAUGAUGCUGUCACUUUAAACCACAAAAGCAAUCUUUUUCAGUGUUACAUGGUGGGUGAGUGCUCCUUUCUGACAGGAGGGCAAGCAGCAAGCUGUGUCUAGAUAUACUGAAAACGCAUUCGUUUACUGAAAGGAAAAGCUCUGACUCAGCUUUUGCAAUGUGAUAAAUAUUUGGUUGUCACAUUACCUAACCUGGAGAAGAUUCCAUCUCUUUCUGGGAACCAAGGCAAUGGGAAAAAUGUCAAAAAAUAAUUGUUUUAAGCAGGAAAACAAAGUAAAAUUCUUCUCACUGAGAUUGUUUCUGGCAAGAAUAUUAACU
ensembl:lncRNA